CCGAGUUGACAGACUCCCUAAACCCCUGUGAACAUACUCUACUUGUUGCCUCGGCGGGAGGCAGCCCGCCCCCGGCAACGGGACGCCCGCCGGAGGAUACCCCUAAACUCUUUGACUAUAGUGGACUUCUGAGUAUACCAUGAAUAAGUCA
rnacentral:misc_RNA from 1 species